GACGAACGCUGGCGGCGUGCUUAACACAUGCAAGUCGAACGGAAAGGCCCUGCUUGCAGGGUACUCGAGUGGCGAACGGGUGAGUAACACGUGGGUGAUCUGCCCUGCACUUCGGGAUAAGCCUGGGAAAUUGGGUCUAAUACCGGAUAGGAGCCAUUUUUAGUGUGAUGGUUGGAAAGUUUUUUCGGUGUAGGAUGAGCUCGCGGCCUAUCAGCUUGUUGGUGGGGUAAUGGCCUACCAAGGCGGCGACGGGUAGCCGGCCUGAGAGGGUGGACGGCCACAUUGGGGCGGAGAGACGGCCCAGACUCCUACGGGAGGCAGCGGUGGGGAAUGUUGCACAAUGGGCGCAGGCUUGAUGCAGCGACGCCGCGUGGGGGAUGAUGGCCGUCGGGUUGUAAACUCCUUUCGCUAGGGACGAAGCUUUUGUGACGGUACCUAGAGAAGAAGCACCGGCUAACUACGUG
rnacentral:rRNA from 1 species